rnacentral:sRNA from 1 species
UGCGUGCGUGCUGCGCUACUGAGCAGCGCCAUGGAGGACUCUGAAGCACUGGGCUUCGAACACAUGGGCCUCGAUCCCCGGCUCCUUCAGGUACACGCGAGGGCUGGGAAGCCGGCUUACGGGCUCUGCGGGGCGCGCCAUCACUCUUCAUGCCGCUUAAACCGCACUCCUGGUCUCCUAGGCUGUCACCGAUCUGGGCUGGUCGCGACCUACGCUGAUCCAGGAGAAGGCCAUCCCACUGGCCCUAGAAGGGAAGGACCUCCUGGCUCGGGCCCGCACGGGCUCCGGGAAGACGGCCGCUUAUGCUAUUCCGAUGCUGCAGCUGUUGCUCCAUAGGAAGGCGACAGGUCCGGUGGUAGAACAGGCAGUGAGAGGCCUUGUUCUUGUUCCUACCAAGGAGCUGGCACGGCAAGCACAGUCCAUGAUUCAGCAGCUGGCUACCUACUGUGCUCGGGAUGUCCGAGUGGCCAAUGUCUCAGCUGCUGAAGACUCAGUCUCUCAGAGAGCUGUGCUGAUGGAGAAGCCAGAUGUGGUAGUGGGGACCCCAUCUCGCAUAUUAAGCCACUUGCAGCAAGACAGCCUGAAACUUCGUGACUCCC